UACGAAGGGGGCGAGCGUUGUUCGGAAUUACUGGGCGUAAAGGGCGCGCAGGCGGCCUCUCGAAGUCAGAUGUGAAAGCCCCGGGCUCAACCUGGGAAUGGCAUUUGAUACUCGAGGGCUUGAGUACGGGAGAGGAGAGUGGAAUUCCCAGUGUAGAGGUGAAAUUCGUAGAUAUUGGGAAGAACACCGGUGGCGAAGGCGGCUCUCUGGACCGUAACUGACGCUGAGGCGCGAAAGCGUGGGGAGCAAACAGG
rnacentral:rRNA from 2 species